UUUGGCACUUGCACAAUAUUGA
rnacentral:miRNA from 1 species